GACGAACGCUGGCGGCGUGCUUAACACAUGCAAGUCGAACGAAGCUUGAUUACGGAUUCUUCGGAUGAAGUAUGAUAUGACUGAGUGGCGGACGGGUGAGUAACGCGUGAGUAACCUGCCCUUCAGAGGGGGAUAGCGUUUGGAAACGAACGGUAAUACCGCAUAAUGUAUUUUGACCGCAUGAUCGAAAUACCAAAGAUUUAUCGCUGAAGGAUGGACUCGCGUCUGAUUAGGUAGUUGGUGGGGUAACGGCCUACCAAGCCGACGAUCAGUAGCCGGACAGAGAGAUUGAUCAGCCACAUUGGGAGUGAGACACGGCCCAGACUCCUACGGGAGGCAGCAGUGGGGAAUAUUGCACAAUGGGCGCAAGCCUGAUGCAGCAACGCCGCGUGAAGGAAGACGGUUUUCGGAUUGUAAACUUCUGUUCUUAGUGAAGAAUAAUGACGGUAGCUAAGGAGCAAGCCACGGCUAACUACGUG
rnacentral:rRNA from 1 species